rnacentral:rRNA from 1 species
CUACGGGAGGCAGCAGUGGGGAAUUUUGGACAAUGGGGGCAACCCUGAUCCAGCCAUUCCGCGUGAGUGAAGAAGGCCUUCGGGUUGUAAAGCUCUUUCAGCAGGAACGAAACGGUGGCCACUAAUACUGGCUACUAAUGACGGUACCUGAAGAAGAAGCACCGGCUAACUACGUGCCAGCAGCCGCGGUAAUACGUAGGGUGCGAGCGUUAAUCGGAAUUACUGGGCGUAAAGCGUGCGCAGGCGGUUCCAUAAGACAGAUGUGAAAUCCCCGGGCUUAACCUGGGAACUGCGUUUGUGACUGUGGGACUCGAGUGUGGCAGAGGGGGGUGGAAUUCCACGUGUAGCAGUGAAAUGCGUAGAGAUGUGGAGGAACACCGAUGGCGAAGGCAGCCCCCUGGGUCAACACUGACGCUCAUGCACGAAAGCGUGGGGAGCAAACAGGAUUAGAUACCCCGGU